CACACGGUCGGAAAUGUGUGUCCAAGCAGCAAGUCUGAGAACGAGUGAAAUGCUUUUUCUCUCAAGGACAAGCUGUGAUGGGGAGCGAAAUUUAGUAGCGAAGUUCCUGAUGUCACACUGCCAAGAAAAGCUUCUAGUGAGAAAGUAACUGCCCGUACCGUAAACCGACACAGGUAGUUGAGGAGAGAAUCCUAAGGUGUGCGAGAGAACCCUCGUUAAGGAACUCGGCAAAUGACCCCGUAACUUCGGGAGAAGGGGUGCUGACCGCAAGGUCAGCCGCAGUGAAUAGGCCCAAGCGAUUGUUUAUCAAAAACACAGGUCUCUGCAAAAUCGAAAGAUGACGUAUAGGGGCUGACGCCUGCCCGGUGCUGGAAGGUUAAGAGGAGAGGUUAGCGCAAGCGAAGCUUUGAAUUGAAGCCCCAGUAAACGGCGGCCGUAACGAUAACGGUCCUAAGGUAGCGAAAUUCCUUGUCGGGUAAGUUCCGACCCGCACGAAAGGCGUAACGAUUUGGGCACUGUCUCAACGAGAGACUCGGUGAAAUUAUAGUACCAGUGAAGAUGCUGGUUACCCGCGACAGGACGGAAAGACCCCAUGGAGCUUUACUGCAGUUUGAUAUUGCGUGUUUGUAUCACAUGUACAGGAUAGGUAGGAGCCGAAGAUACCGGGACGCCAGUCUCGGAGGAGGCAACGGUGGGAUACUACCCUUGUGAUAUGACCACUCUAACCCGCUGCUCUUAGCGAGCAGGGAGACAGUGUCAGACGGGCAGUUUGACUGGGGCGGUCGCCUCCAAAAAUGUAACGGAGGCGCCCAAAGGUUCCCUCAGAAUGGUUGGAAAUCAUUCGUAGAGUGUAAAGGCAGAAGGGAGCUUGACUGCGAGACCUACAAGUCGAGCAGGGACGAAAGUCGGGCUUAGUGAUCCGGUGGUUCCGCAUGGAAGGGCCAUCGCUCAACGGAUAAAAGCUACCCUGGGGAUAACAGGCUUAUCUCCCCCAAGAGUUCACAUCGACGGGGAGGUUUGGCACCUCGAUGUCGGCUCAUCGCAUCCUGGGGCUGUAGUCGGUCCCAAGGGUUGGGCUGUUCGCCCAUUAAAGCGGUACGCGAGCUGGGUUCAGAACGUCGUGAGACAGUUCGGUCCCUAUCCGUCGCGGGCGUUGGAAAUUUGAGAGGAGCUGUCCUUAGUACGAGAGGACCGGGAUGGACACACCGCUGGUGUACCAGUUGUUCUGCCAAGAGCAUCGCUGGGUAGCUAUGUGUGGACGGGAUAAACGCUGAAAGCAUCUAAGCGUGAAGCCCCCCUCAAGAUGAGAUUUCCCAUCACUUUAAGUGAGUAAGACCCCUGAGAGAUGAUCAGGUAGAUAGGUUGGGAGUGGAAGUACAGCGAUGUAUGGAGCGGACCAAUACUAAUCGGUCGAGGACUUAACC
rnacentral:rRNA from 1 species